GGUCCCGUAGUUCAACGGAUAGAGCACAGGCUUCCGAAGCCUGAAAUCCAGGUUCGAACCCUGGCGGGACUA
rnacentral:tRNA from 1 species